UCUCAAAGUUGGACUCUCACGAAGGACAUACCUCUGAUGUUUUCUCUGUAGGGGGUUGUCAAUGGAAAGUGCAGAUCUAUCCAAAGGGAGAGAGGGAAGUGUAUGAUUACUUAUCUUUGUACCUUGUCCCUGUGGAGUUGACGAAAACAAUGAACAUGGAGUUCAAUUUUGCAGUGACAAGUCAAAUCGAUCACAAUAUCAGUGUGCGAAUAGAAGGAAAAGACAAAUUCGGCAAAGAAGAUAAGCUCGGCUUGGGUUGGGCAACAUUCAUGCGUCUUACUGAACUCCAUGACCCUGCUAAAGGAUUUAUUGUGAACGAUAAGUGUCUCAUUACAGUUGAGAUUGCUGUGAAAGAGAGUGAACCAGCUGACAAGAUUUAGGAGACUAAACGUUACAAAAUCAAAGACGAAUGGCAGUAGGAUGAGAUUGCUGUGAUUUAUCAUGUCAUUUCAGUUUGUGGAGGUUAAUGGACGAUUCAUCGACUCCACCUUUGGCUUUGGCUACGGCUACUUCCAGUCAAAUGUCAAGUGCAGCACCAACCUCAGCAUCACCUCAAUCUGAACCUGAUGGGACACCCCAAUCUCAAUAUGU